rnacentral:rRNA from 1 species
GACGAACGCUGGCGGCGCGCUUAACACAUGCAAGUCGAACGGAAAGGCCUGCUUUCCCUUGUGGAUUGCGGGUACUCGAGUGGCGAACGGGUGAGUAACACGUGAGUGAUCUGCCCCCAACUUGGGUAUAAGCCUGGGAAACUGGGUCUAAUUCCCGAUAGGACUGCAGGGUGGUGCCUGUGGUGGAAAACGAUUUUCUAGUGGUUGGGGAUGAGCUCGCGGCCUAUCAGCUUGUUGGUGGGGUAAUGGCCUACCAAGGCGGCGACGGGUAGCCGGACUGAGAGGGUGGACGGCCACAUUGGGACUGGGAUACGGCCCAGACGCCUACGGGAAGCAGCAGUGGGGAAUAAUGCACAAUGGGCGGAAGCCUGAUGCAGCGACGCCGCGUGGGGGAUGACGGCCUUCGGGUUGUAAACUCCUUUCGACCGCGAGGAAGCCACCUGGUUGGAAGGGUGGUGACGGUAGUGGUAGAAGAAGCACCGGCUAACUACGUG